AUGGGGAUGCAGGCUCUGAUGGAUGUUCGGUGCAAGAAUCUAGUGAACCCUGUAUGUGACUGGCUCGAUGAGAUUUACGAGCCCGCCUCCAGGGAAUUUGUGAUUCCGGGAUGUGGAAGACUGCCAUUGGACGAGGAAUCCGUGUUCGGCACUUUGGGUGUGCCCCGUGGAGAAAUCAAAGUCCCGUAUGAGGUCAAUAAUAAGAUUGAGGAAAUGUUGUUUGCCCGUUUGUUUCCUGGGACGGCAACCAUGCCGAACAUGACUGUGUUGGCAAAUUCGCUGCAGGCCAUGACAACCCAUGGCGAGGUUUUUAAGAUGAAGCUACUCAUGUACCUGAUCUCAGUUGUUUUUGCGCCGACCACAUCUCUUCGCCCAAGCAACAAAUGCUUCCCCAUCCUGGCAAAACUGAAAGAUGUGAAGAACAUGAAUUGGUGUAAGUUCAUUGCGGACUUCCUGCAUGAUGCAUUCUCAAACAAGAUGUACCAGAAGGGUUGUCGACUCCAUUUAAUGCUCAUGUACGUCGAUCGUCUUGAUCUGUCCACCGUUGACUUUACUGGGGUAGGAGGUCGGCCACCUCCACAUAAGUUUGAUGUCUCUGCGUGGACGUACGGUGCUGUCAAAGCUGUGCUUGCCGCAAACAAGAUAACUGAUACUAAAUAUGGGAAACUGCAGCUGAUGGCCAAGCAUGCUAUAGACUACAGCGUGUUUGGUGGGCCUCAAAACUUUGGGAAGUGGAUGGACGUGCACUCAGCUCCAUCUUGUCCUGCAGAGGCGAGGGCAUCUGUUGAGCAUCUAAUUGGGCAGUUUGUAUCCGGAAUGACCAGCUUGCUCGGGAAGUUAGUUGAGGGUUGGACGACCCUUAAUGGCUCUGACAGCGACGCGGUUGCGAGGCAGUUCACUCCAUUUGUUGCAGAACGGACACAUCGGCCAACUGGUUGCCGUGGUCGGUACGACUACAACAGCUCGCAGGAGCUUCCUGACACACAAGAUGAACUAGAUGGAGAUGCUGUUCUCGACAAGGAUGAUGACGAUGACAUGGAGAACGUGCAACACGACACCGACGAUGAUGAACAUGUUGAAGUUCGUGCAUGUGGUAAGAAGGGCAAGGUUGCACCAGAUGUCCCCUCACCGGAGAAAGUC
rnacentral:rRNA from 1 species